rnacentral:tRNA from 1 species
GCGGAUGUGGCGGAAUUGGCAUACGCGCAGGUCUCAGAAGCCUGUCCUUUCACGAGGUUGAGGGUUCAAAUCCCUCCAUCCGCACCA